GCCCCCAUAGCUCAGUUGGUAGAGCGCGGCACUAGUACGAUUCAUGGUCACGUGAUAUCUCGUGAUAUGCCGAGGUCUACGGUUCAACUCCGUAUGUGGGCA
rfam:Pseudogymnoascus pannorum VKM F-103 contig_387, whole genome shotgun sequence.